rnacentral:rRNA from 1 species
AAACCUUGAUGGUCCCCAAUACUCCCCCAUCCGCCUGGGAACUACGAGCACAAGCUUAAAACCCAAAGGACUUGGCGGUGCUUUAGACCCCCCUAGAGGAGCCUGUUCUAGAACUGAUAACCCCCGUUAAACCUCACCACCCCUUGUUAACACCGCCUAUAUACCGCCGUCGUCAGCUUACCCUGUGAAGGUGAAACAGUAAGCAAAAUUAGUAAAACUCAAAACGUCAGGUCGAGGUGUAGCGAAUGGAGUGGGAAGAAAUGGGCUACAUUCUCUCUCGAGAGUAUACGAAUGGUGAACUGAAAUACCCACCUAAAGGAGGAUUUAGCAGUAAGUGGUAAAUAGAGUGUCCC